UACGAAGGGGGCUAGCGUUGCUCGGAAUCACUGGGCGUAAAGCGCACGUAGGCGGACUCUUAAGUCGGUGGUGAAAUCCUGGAGCUCAACUCCAGAACUGCCUUCGAUACUGAGAGUCUCGAGUCCGAGAGAGGUGAGUGGAACUGCGAGUGUAGAGGUGAAAUUCGUAGAUAUUCGGAAGAACACCAGUGGCGAAGGCGGCUCACUGGCCCGGUACUGACGCUGAGAUACGAAAGCGUGGGGAGCAAACAGG
rnacentral:rRNA from 1 species